rnacentral:lncRNA from 1 species
UUUAUUUAACCAGGUUAGGCCAGUUGAGAACAAGUCCUUUAUUUAACCAGGUUAGGCCAGUUGAGAACAAGUCCUUUAUUUAACCAGGUUAGGCUAGUUGAGAACAAGUCCUUUAUUUAACCAGGUAGGCUAGUUGAGAACAAGUCCUUUAUUUAACCAGGUUAGGCUAGUUGAGAACAAGUCCUUUAUUUAACCAGGUUAGGCUAGUUGAGAACAAGUCCUUUAUUUAACCAGGUAGGCUAGUUGAGAACAAGUCCUUUAUUUAACCAGGUUAGGCUAGUUGAGAACAAGUCCUUUAUUUAACCAGGUUAGGCUAGUUGAGAACAAGUCCUUUAUUUAACCAGGUUAGGCUAGUUGAGAACAAGUCCUUUAUUUAACCAGGUAGGCUAGUUGAGAACAAGUUCUCAUUUACAAUUGCGACCUGGUCAAGAUAAAGCAAAGCAGUUCGACAACAUACAACAACACAGAGUUACACAUGGAGUAAAACAAACAUACAGUCAAUAAUACAGUAGAAAAAUAAGUCUAUAUACAAUGUGAGCAGAUGAGGUGAGAUAAGGGAGGUAAAGGCAAUAAAUAGGCC